GUCUGCAAAAUCACAGUGAGGAAGCUCCAGAACCGAAGGUCCCCAAAAGCCGGCAGAGCUCAUGGGCCAUAAUCCCAACCUGGCCUGCAGCCGACCCACCACACCACGGUCCCACAGAAAUCUGUCUGAGAGCUGAGCACCCUGAGAGGAGCUGUUGUUAACACACGACUCACCCUGGAAGCAAGCAGCGGGGCUGGGCUGGUGCGGGGCUGGUGGCCUGGCUCUCAGCGAAGCAGGUUCUCAGGGAAGCCAGCCAGGGAGGUGAAUGGCUCAGAAGGAGCAGGGAGCUCGGCGCCGGGACGCACAUCACCCUCAUCCUGAGAUUUCCCAGAGGGGACCGAGCCCUUGGCGUCUUCCAUGCUCCCGUGUCCCAGGCACCAUGGAUAAGGCUGAUCUUCCUCCGGCCAGGCCUGUGCUUUGUCAGCCAGCACACAGUCCUGCUCCCUGCAGAGAUGGCAGGUCCUUGGUGUUAGGGUUGGGCUGGAGUGCGCAAGUGGUCUGGUACCACGCGGGGGAUACUCACCGGGACACCCGCCCAGCCCCCGGUUACCCUUGUAGGGGAAGCAGUGCGUCUGUGCAACUGACGCACCGGCAUGGCGUGGGGUGGGAGGCAGAAGUCAGCAGCCUCUGGGCACGUUCCUCUUCCUCCUCCCUCCUUCCCAGCACCCUGGAACGGUAGUAGUAACUGCUUGCGAAAGCCCAGGUGCAGGGAGGGUGAGCACUGUCCUCCGCCGGGUGUUGUCCCCCAGACCCCAGGUCCGGUGGCUGGAGAACAGAUUCACUUGUCUUUCUUGCCCCAGGACUGUGGAGAGGAAGCCAGGCCGCGGGAAGCCACGGCAGGGCCUGGCAGCGGGAGGGGGAAGGGGAAGCCAGUGUGCAGUCCACGCCCCUCUGCUGCCACCCAGCUUCCUCCAGGCCCGGCCAAGACAGCACUGUGUCUGCGAGGGACGUGGCCGAGCGAGCUUCACAGGGGCAGCUGCUGACAGAGCCUGCACUUGGCCCCUCCAGGCUGCAUUUCCACACUUCACAGGACCAAGUCUGAUUGAUGGAA